UACGUAGGGCGCAAGCGUUUGUCCGGAAUUAUUGGGCGUAAAGAGCUCGUAGGCGGCCUGUUGCGUCCGCUGUGAAAUCCCGGGGGCUCAACCCCGGGCCUGCAGUGGAUACGGGCUGGCUAGAGGCAGGCAGGGGGAGAACGGAAUUCCUGGUGUAGCGGUGAAAUGCGCAGAUAUCAGGAGGAACACCGGUGGCGAAGGCGGUUCUCUGGGCCUGUACUGACGCUGAGGAGCGAAAAGCGUGGGGGAGCGAACAGG
rnacentral:rRNA from 1 species